CAGCCGCCGCGGUAAUACGUAGGUGGCAAGCGUUGUCCGGAAUUAUUGGGCGUAAAGGGCUCGCAGGCGGUUUCUUAAGUCUGAUGUGAAAGCCCCCGGCUCAACCGGGGAGGGUCAUUGGAAACUGGGAAACUUGAGUGCAGAAGAGGAGAGUGGAAUUCCACGUGUAGCGGUGAAAUGCGUAGAGAUGUGGAGGAACACCAGUGGCGAAGGCGACUCUCUGGUCUGUAACUGACGCUGAGGAGCGAAAGCGUGGGGAGCGAACAGGAUUAGAUACCCGCGUAGUCCCUGUCUCUUAUAA
rnacentral:rRNA from 1 species